GACGAACCGUGCGAACGUUGUUCGGAUUCACUGGGCUUAAAGGGCGCGUAGGCGGCUGCUCAAGUCGGGGGUGAAAUCUUUCAGCUCAACUGGAAAAUAGCCUCCGAUACUGUGCGGCUUGAGGGAGAUAGGGGCACGCGGAACUUCCGGUGGAGCGGUGAAAUGCGUAGAUAUCGGAAGGAACGCCGGUGGCGAAAGCGGCGUGCUGGAUCUCUUCUGACGCUGAGGCGCGAAAGCCAGGGGAGCGAACGGG
rnacentral:rRNA from 1 species